rnacentral:rRNA from 1 species
GAUGAACGCUAGCGGGAUGCCUAACACAUGCAAGCCGAGCGGUAUGGAUAGCUUGCUAUCCAGAGAGCGGCGUACGGGUGCGUAACACGUGUGCAACCUACCUUUAUCUGGGGUAUAGCCUUUCGAAAGGAAGAUUAAUACCCCAUAAUAUAAUGAUUGUCAUCAAUGAUGAUGGAAAACUCCGGUGGAUGGAGAUGGGCACGCGCGAGAUUAGAUAGUUGGUGAGGUAACGGCUCACCAAGUCAAUGAUCUUUAGGGGUCCUGAGAGGGAGAUCCCCCACACUGGUACUGAGAAACGGACCAGACUGCUACGGGCGGCAGCAGUGAGGAAUAUUGGACAAUGGGUGAGAGCCUGAUCCAGCCAUCCCGCGUGAAGGAUGACGGUCCUAUGGAUUGUAACCUUCUUUUGUACAGGGAUAAACCUACUCUCGGGAGGGUAGCUGAAGGUACUGUACGAAUAAGCACCGGCUAACUCCGUG